rnacentral:tRNA from 1 species
GGUGGCUCAGUGGUAGAGUGCCUGCCUUGCAUGCAUGAAGCCCUGGGUUCAAUUCCUCAGCACCA